AGUUUGAUCAUGGCUCAGAACGAACGCUGGCGGCAUGCCUAACACAUGCAAGUCGAACGAAGCCUUCGGGCUUAGUGGCGCACGGGUGCGUAACACGUGGGAAUCUGCCCUUCGGUUCGGAAUAACAGUUAGAAAUGACUGCUAAUACCGGAUGAUGACGAAAGUCCAAAGAUUUAUCGCCGAAGGAUGAGCCCGCGUAGGAUUAGGUAGUUGGUAGGGUAAUGGCCUACCAAGCCGACGAUCCUUAGCUGGUCUGAGAGGAUGAUCAGCCACACUGGGACUGAGACACGGCCCAGACUCCUACGGGAGGCAGCAGUGGGGAAUAUUGGACAAUGGGCGAAAGCCUGAUCCAGCAAUGCCGCGUGAGUGAUGAAGGCCUUAGGGUUGUAAAGCUCUUUUACCAGGGAUGAUAAUGACAGUACCUGGAGAAUAAGCUCCGGCUAACUCCGUG
rnacentral:rRNA from 1 species